UUUUAUUCCUCUUAUGAAAUACAAAGAAAAUAUGACAAAACUUGUAUAUUGCUACAUGUACAUGGAUUGAAUAGCAAUGAAUGAAUGCCCAGAUUCUAUCAAUAUUACAUUAAAUCUGUUAUUACUACUACAUGUUAUCUAAAUCCACCUCUUUUGCUGCAGUAACUUCAGAUGGGAAAGAAAUGGUGGCAGCAGACGACAAAAUUUCUUUAUUUCGUUUUAAAUUUUCUACUUUAAGGAUGUUUUGGCAUAUGAAAAUAUACAGAGCGAAGGUGCAGAACAAAAUUUUGCUUACACAAUGGUUAUACACGAAAACAUCGUUCAGCCAGAUCCGAAUAUGUUCACAAAAUAGAGGUGAACAAAUGGUACAAGACGUUGGCUUUUGACAAAUUGAUAUACACGUGAUCAUCGUUCUGCUAGAUCGGAAUGUUUUCACAAAAUAGAGAUGUGAAAAUGGUACUAGAUGUUAGCUUCCGACACAGAGGACACACACGAGACUCUCGUUCAACAAAGUCAGAAUAUUUUCGUAAAAUAGAGAUUAAAGUUGCAGGCGAAAGUAAAGUAACAGAUGAAAGUAACAGAUUAAAGUUGCAGAUGAAAUCUGCAGAUGAAAGUGACAGAUCCUGAAAGUAAAAAGGUGUGUACAUGUAUAUUUCUAUAUUUACUUUGACUAAUACUGUUGGGUUCCCUUUGCAAUUGAUGCGUGAAAAUUGUUUUACAGACCAGCCGACCUACAGAUACAAGUAGCGUUGGACAGGAGAGUGUGAGGCAAUUCGAAUUGUGAUUGCCCUUCGGAAAACAAUUAAAACCAAAGUAUUUGCAUCAAGUAUUUGUUAUUGAUUGCAUCUCUUAAAUUUCAGAUGUAAACCAUUACCCGAAGUUAUAGAUGGAUACAGUAAUUCUUUGUAUCAAUCGGAUGAAAAUCACAGCUUUGCAAUUACAGAUGUAGACAGAAGCUCUUCGCUACAGAUGAAGACAAAAGCUCUUCGUUACAGAUGAAUAACGUAGCUCUGCUGGGCUGAAGUCGCUUGCCCCUCGCCUUUGUGGGUUCCAAACCAUACUUAGAGUGUAGACUCUAAACCCAGUAAACAUCUUUACAGAUUAAAUCAUACCUCUUUGGUAUAAAUGAAAAUCAGAUGUUUUUUUUUCAGUUAAG